rfam:Salmo salar isolate Sally breed double haploid chromosome ssa20, whole genome shotgun sequence.
UGCAUUCACUACUAUAAGUCGCUCUGGAUAAGAGCAUCUGCUAAAUGACAAAAA